AACGCGAAGAACCUUACCUGGCCUUGACAUCCUGGGAAUCCCGUAGAGAUAUGGGAGUGCCGCAAGGAGCCCAGAGACAGGUGCUGCAUGGCUGUCGUCAGCUCGUGUCGUGAGAUGUUGGGUUAAGUCCCGCAACGAGCGCAACCCUUGUCCUUAGUUGCCAUCAUUCAGUUGGGCACUCUAAGGAGACCGCCGGUGACAAACCGGAGGAAGGUGGGGAUGACGUCAAGUCAUCAUGGCCUUUAUGGCCAGGGCUACACACGUGCUACAAUGGCAGAUACAGAGGGAAGCCAACGCGCGAGCGGGAGCCAAUCCCAGAAAAUCUGUCGUAGUCCGGAUUGGAGUCUGCAACUCGACUCCAUGAAGUCGGAAUCGCCAGUAAUCGCAGAUCAGCAUUGCUGCGGUGAAUACGUUCCCGGGUCUUGUACACACCG
rnacentral:rRNA from 1 species